rnacentral:rRNA from 1 species
UUCAGCGUCCUUAAGCACGCUCAAUCCACCAGUUCCCUGUGAAUCACUGAAGUUAAGCAACGUUGCGUGUGGUUGGUAUCUGAAUGGGUGACCAUCUGGGCGAUAGCGUUCUGCUGGUU